UUCAAAAUGUUUGUUAUUGUUUUUAUAAAUUCAGAGUAACUUCAUCUUAAAAAGUGUAACUUACUUUACAAGCGAGAAUGCUAUUAUAGUUAUUUUCAACUAACCUCUUACUACCCUAAUCCAGAAAAACAUGAAAUUAGACUUUGAAAGUCAUUUGUAUUUUUUCAUUUUGGUCCUUGAGUCUGACGAUUUUUUCAGUGAGGCAUUAAAAAGAAAUUUUGUAAUCAACAGGAUACAAAGUAAGGAUAAUAGUAAAAUUCAUUUAGGGAAAAUGGUUGAUGUUUUUUACUGUGUUCUAGAGGCUACCUGACUAAUCUUAGAUUGUCUUUCUGUUCUAGUUUUAAUAUGCUUAUUUAUAGUGUUUUUGAUUAUAAAAGUAACACAUUAUUAUAGAAAACUUUGGAAAACACACACAUAAAAGAUAAGAAUACUCUGUAAUUGCAUACUACAUAAAUAUCUCUACACUUUACAUUUAAUGUAUUUUUAUGUGUGUGUGUUGUCCACCCAUUGGUAUUUAUGAGUACGUUCUGGGGAUGCUUGACACAGGGUUAACUUUAAUUGGGCCGAAGCAACACAUUUAGACCCUGCAGGCUGUGAGGUUUGUUUGUAGGUUAUCAUUUACCAGCAUCAUCUGAACAUGCACAUUUAUGGGAAGGAGAGGAGUUUUUCUACUCUAAUAUUACUUGGCCAGAAGAUACACUGCCUGUGAAUUGCAUGGGUUUCUUCUUUUAUGUGUAAUUUUUUUUCAGAUGUUUGGGGCCAUCCUGUGUUUAGAGUUUGAUACUUUGCUUUUGCCACUUAACAGAUGAAGUUUUUCCUAUUAGACUUUUUUUUUUUCUUUCUUGGUCAGCUCACGUAGUACAGAUUUGCACGACAAUAAAAUAUUUAGUGGAAUUAAAUGGCUUGCCUUUGAAAAUAUAAACAGAUCGUUUUCAGCAUUUAAUGCAUCUUUGAAAUAAAAAUAAGACAGUAGUAGUAAUUGACCUUUAAGCUCAGUUUAGUUAGUGAUCAUGUUUUAGAGGUUGGGAAUAAAUUUAUUUAGCUUAUUUAAAUUCAUUUUAUACUUACACACCUUUGAAAUAACCAUGCACUUUGAUUAUAACUCUUUGUAAUUAUUUCUAUGUAAAUUUGGUCAUAUAAAAAAUAUAAGAUACUGUUCAAGAAUUUUAGUUUUAAUCAUAUACCAUUUCUCCCAAAUGCUAAAAAAAGACUAAAAUUGUUUCUCCAAAAUAGUUGUUAUAGUUGAAAAUACUUAAUUUUUAAAUAUUGAGAAUUCUUCUUUAACAGGCAAGAAACUGUAGCUUAAUUGCUGUGAAUGAAUGGCACUCGUUCUUAGAAAGCAGUAUGUCCAGUGGGGAGAAACUGGAGAGGUUGGUUACGGCGAGUUUUUACUCAUGCAGCAAUAAUUUUUGCCAUUGGAGAGGUAGAGAGGUCAAGAGGUCAGUAGUUACUUUGAAUAGUAAUACUGUCUUCCUGUCUACAGUAGUUUCUUAAAAAUAAGUAUGAAUUGAAAGUUUGUCCGUGUUCCUUUAUGAAAUUACACCACGUAUAUUGAUUCACGAAUACGAGGAUGAAAUUUGUUUCAGAAUAAAACAGUCGUGUUUUGUCAUUUAAUCUGCCCCUUGUGGGAAGGAACCUUCAGUUUUUGUUUGUUGGUUUAUUUGUUUUGUUUUUAAACCGAGAAGAGGCUUCCCAAGCAAUUAAAAUUUUGCUAUUUGGGGACUCAUUUCUUAACACUACAUAAAGUAUUUGUGUCUCUUAGUUUGUAUGUUAGAAGAAACUUAAGUAGGUUCGUGUGCCUCUGUUCUUUCAAAUUUGGCGAGCCUUGGAUGGAGACUGGUAUUGAUUUCUUAGUCACACCUGAGCCAUGUAAGGGGCUUUCUGCUUAUUUACCUGUUUGUUGCAAAAGAAAUGUUUCUUAGAUUUGUAGAACUACGUUUAUGUUACACAUUGGUGCUCUUUGACCCCUGACUGUGUCGGAUACACAAAUGUAACUUUACCAUGUGUUGUGGAAGGUUUUUUCCCCUGGUAAGAGUUGGUCAUUAAAUUUUUCUGGAAUGUUUCCAGUUUAUAAUGGUCAAAUGCCAUUGAUAAAAACCAAAACAAAACAAAAACUAAUUUGCCUUUGUAGAAUAAUGGAGGUUCGGUUGUGCCUUUUAAAAAAACAAAGAAACAAAACCACAUGACUGAUUUCUUCUUGCACGUGUUGUAGGUGUUCUUAUUCCUUCAUUCUUACAUUUAUUUCAUAAAUACUUACUGAGUGCUGGUUAAAUGUCUGGUACUGGUAUACAUAGUUCCUUGUGUCACAGAGUU